UACGGAGGAUGCGAGCGUUAUCCGGAUUUAUUGGGUUUAAAGGGUGCGUAGGCGGAUUGAUAAGUCAGUGGUGAAACCCUGCAGCUUAACUGUAGGCUUGCCGUUGAUACUGUCAGUCUUGAGUGUGGCCAAGGUAGGCGGAAUGUGUAAUGUAGCGGUGAAAUGCUUAGAUAUUACACAGAACACCGAUUGCGAAGGCAGCUUGCUGGACCAUUACUGACGCUGAUGCACGAAAGCGUGGGGAUCGAACAGGAUUAGAUACCCUGGUAGUCCACGCCGUAAACGAUGAUCACUCGCUGUUAGCGAUACACAGUUAGCGGCUAAGCAAAAGCAUUAAGUGAUCCACCUGGGGAGUACGGCCGCAAGGCUGAA
rnacentral:rRNA from 1 species